CAUCACGCUCGCGCGAAGUGAAUGUCUCUCUGAGUGCUGCCAAAGUUUUACAGUGAAAAUCUAACACAGUUCCGCCAUUUCGUCGUGGCAUUUAAAUUGCAGUCACAGGGAGGGAGUGUGGAUGAAUAAGCCUGUCAAGGUGAUGUUGAGCAUGGCCCAUGACUGCAACUCUAUUCUGACUGCGGGAUUGAGGAAAUCCUAGGGUUUCAAGUUCACCUCUCAAUGCUCUCAGGGGAUGCAUUGCGCUGACUGUGGCGACCUACUGACCUUUUCUCUUUCGCCACCUUCACACCAAAGUUUCCAUCUCUACAUAAAUUCCGAGACAGAAGGAGGAGUGGCAGACAUGAUGGACAGAGAACAAGCAAGCAGGUGUUGUUUUUAUGGCUUUCU